UGAGGAGACAAUCUUGAUAGGAAGUUUGAACUUUGAAAUAAUAUUUUAUUCUACCACCCAUCUAAAGGCUAAUUAAUCACAAAUGUUAAACCAAUCAGAAGAAAAUGUUUGUUAAACCAGAAAAGGCUGUUACCUCUCACAGACAAGUUUCUUUCUUUAGGUCAACAUAUCUGGUGUAGCUGUCAGGAUUCAGAGCAACCUCCUCACACCCUGGACCACCUAGUGAUCCCUCCUGGACUCAGCACUCAGCACCAGCACAAACCUACUGUGUUUCUCUGUCUCCACAUCUUUCCCUGAGUACAAAAGGUAGCCCUGCGUGAGUAGGCAUCUUCCAUCAUCAGAGAUCUCCAACUGAAGCUGACCUGCAGCCAGUCACCUGGUUCUUCAGACCAGGACAAGAAAUUGAAACUCAGUUUAAAAAGAUCACUCAAAAGGCUAAAUGGCUACAAGAUGACCCAUGG